rnacentral:rRNA from 1 species
AUUGAACGCUGGCGGCAGGCCUAACACAUGCAAGUCGAGCGGAUGAAGGGAGCUGGCUCCUGGAUUCAGCGGCGGACGGGUGAGUAAUGCCUAGGAAUCGGCCUGGUAGUGUGGGAUAACGUCCGUAAACGGGCGCUAAUACCGCAUACGGCCUGAGGGAGAAAGUAGGGGAUCUUCGGACCUCACGCUAUCAGAUGAGCCUAGGUCGGAUUAGCUAGUUGGUGUGGUAAAGGCCUACCAAGGCGACGAUCCGUAACUGGUCUGAGAGGAUGAUCAGUCACACUGGAACUGAGACACGGUCCAGACUCCUACGGGAGGCAGCAGUGGGGAAUAUUGGACAAUGGGCGAAAGCCUGAUCCAGCCAUGCCGCGUGUGUGAAGAAGGUCUUCGGAUUGUAAAGCACUUUAAGUUGGGAGGAAGGGCAGUAAGUUAAUACCUUGCUGUUUUGACGUUACUAACAGAAUAAGCACCGGCUAACUUCGUG